GUUUCUGUAGUUGAAUAACAACGGUGGUUUUUCAGAUCAUUAGUUUUGGUUAAGUUAAGCCAAACGGAAAUA
rnacentral:tRNA from 1 species